UUCCCUUCGCCCGCUCCA
rnacentral:tRNA from 1 species